UUUUUAUAGUUUUUAACCAACCCCACUUCCCUUAUAAAAUAAUACAAAAAACUUUAAAAUAUCUUACACUAUCUUGAAUUCGUUAUCUACACCCAAAGCCGUGACUACUUUAGUUUUUUUAUACGGUACAUAAGAUAUUUUACAUAACAUCAUAUAUAUUCAUAAAAAGCUUUAGUCAAAUUGAUAUACUAGUAUAAAUAGUAUAAUAAAAGUCAAACAAUUUUGUUAUUUUUAGCAUGAAUGUAUGUUGUAUAUUAUACUCAAUUACUUAGUAGAUCUCAAUCAUUUCCCACCUCUACAAAAAACGGAGGCAAGCAAACAAAGAAAAAUAAACCCCAACCCCUUAUCUUUUCUUCCGCCAUUAUUUCCCCAAAAAUAAGCCUUCGUAUCUUCCGCCAAAAGAGCCAAACAACCCACCAAAUCUUCUUAUCUUUUCUUCAAUUUCAAAAACUCAGGAAUUAAAAUGGAAAAAAAAUAAAAUUCUUGAUUAUCUUGGCGGAAUUAGGAUUCAAAAUAGUGAAAUUUUCGAAACUGAACUAGCCCAAAAAUUGAGAGGGAAUUUUUAUUUUUUCAUCUGUUAUUCCCUCCCUUGUCUAUCUUUCUUUAUAAAAUUUUUCUCCUUUAAUUUUACCCUAAGCAAUCACAAAAGUUAAAUCUUAUAAAAUCAUACUGCUCGAACUCGGAGAGGAACCAAACCAAGAAAAUUAUCGAUUGGAAGCAACCGAAUUUGAUUUAUUUGUUGGAGUACUUAUCACCGUCCAAGCUCCAAAAUGUCAAAAUCAAGAGGAAAGACUCUUUCAAAAGAAAAUGAGUAUGAACUACAAAUACUCAAGAUAAUUGAAGUUAACAAGAUGAGGAUGAAAACGUUGGGCAUAAAGCGCAUUGCGGCUUCUUUAACAAGCUUAGUAGAUAGCUCAAAAGUUAAGAAAAGUAAACAAAAGUAUAAUGCAUCUCUUGAGAAAGAUGGUGAUUAUCUACCCGAUGAGAAUGAGGAAGUUGAGUAUGAGAAAGAAACUCACAAUGUAUCUUCAAACAAGAAGGUUAAUGAUAACGUCAAUGGCGAUGAGGAUGACGAUGAGAAUGAUGAUGAAGAGGAGGAUGAAAUGCAAGUAGAUAAAGAGUAACAAUACUACUUUUCUAAUCCAUUGAAAUUAUAUAAUGAAGAUGGCUAGAGAUCGAAUUAGAA